rnacentral:rRNA from 1 species
CAGGCCUAACACAUGCAAGUCGAACGAUGANACUCUAGCUUGCUAGAGAUGAUUAGUGGCGGACGGGUGAGUAACAUUUAGGAAUCUGCCUAGUAGUGGGGGAUAGCUCGGGGAAACUCGAAUUAAUACCGCAUACGACCUACGGGUGAAAGGGGGCGCAAGCUCUUGCUAUUAGAUGAGCCUAAAUCAGAUUAGCUAGUUGGUGGGGUAAAGGCCCACCAAGGCGACGAUCUGUAACUGGUCUGAGAGGAUGAUCAGUCACACCGGAACUGAGACACGGUCCGGACUCCUACGGGAGGCAGCAGUGGGGAAUAUUGGACAAUGGGGGCAACCCUGAUCCAGCCAUGCCGCGUGUGUGAAGAAGGCCUUUUGGUUGUAAAGCACUUUAAGCAGGGAGGAGAGGCUAAUGGUUAAUACCCAUUAGAUUAGACGUUACCUGCAGAAUAAGCACCGGCUAACUCUGUGCCAGCAGCCGCGGUAAU